GACGAACGCUGGCGGCGUGCUUAACACAUGCAAGUCGAACGAUGAAGCUGGAGCUUGCUCCAGUGGAUUAGUGGCGAACGGGUGAGUAACACGUGAGCAAUCUGCCCUUGACUCUGGGAUAACUGCGGGAAACUGUAGCUAAUACCGGAUAUGACACCUUGGGGCAUCCCGAGGUGUGGAAAGAAUUUCGGUCAAGGAUGAGCUCGCGGCCUAUCAGCUUGUUGGUGAGGUAACGGCUCACCAAGGCGACGACGGGUAGCCGGCCUGAGAGGGUGACCGGCCACACGGGAACUGAGACACGGUCCAGACUCCUACGGGAGGCAGCAGUGGGGAAUAUUGCACAAUGGGCGAAAGCCUGAUGCAGCAACGCCGCGUGAGGGAUGACGGCCUUCGGGUUGUAAACCUCUUUUAGCAGGGAAGAAGCGAAAGUGACGGUACCUGCAGAAGAAGCACCGGCUAACUACGUGCCAGCCGCCGCGGUAA
rnacentral:rRNA from 1 species